UACGGGGGGAGCAAGCGUUGUUCGGAUUUACUGGGCGUAAAGGGCGCGUAGGCGGCGCAACAAGUCACUUGUGAAAUCUCCGGGCUUAACCCGGAGCGGUCAAGUGAUACUGUCGUGCUAGAGUGCGGAAGGGGCUACUGGAAUUCUCGGUGUAGCGGUGAAAUGCGUAGAUAUCGAGAGGAACACCUGCGGCGAAGGCGGGUUGCUGGGCCGACACUGACGCUGAGGCGCGGAAAGCCAGGGGAGCGAACGGG
rnacentral:rRNA from 1 species